rnacentral:lncRNA from 1 species
AAUUACUUCAUCCUCUCCCCCACUCUUCACGCCAAAAUCUCCCUUUCAACCUCGAUUUGGACGAAGCGAAACAAAGAUGUCGACGGCGCGCCACCGUUGGUAAGAAUCUCCCCUCCUUCUCUUUUCUUUCGUUUAUUUUUUAAAAUAAAAAAAAUGGGACAAAAAGCAGUAAAAAGAGAAAAAAAACAGAAAGAUCACCUUCAAAAUUUUACUUUUCUGAUUCUUUUACUUUCGUGUUUUCUUUUACUUUUCAAUACAGUAAUUUUCUUCCCUUUUUACAGAUUUUUAUUUGGCUUUAAUAAUCAAAAUAAGAGAGCCAAAACUCUCAAAAACUCCCUCCCCCUUCUCGUGAUUUUUGCCCCCCAUUUGCUGUUUGUGGUUUGUGAUCUUAUUACAUGUGGGAAGACGUACGCGGAGGCUGCUAAUCGUGGGCAAGGUCACUGCGACGUGGGGGCGAUGGGGCAAUUACUGCGGCACUGAAGAAGGGAAGCUACUAGGGUUUCAGCUAAAAAUUUGUUUGGGGCCCCAUCGUAUUUGGGUUAGGGUUGUUUGGGUUUUAGUUUGUAAUUUGUGCUGCUGUAAACGAUUUUGGGUUGGUCUUAUUUUGAAUGUGCCUGGCAAAAAUGGACUAUUACAGGUUUAGUUAUAUUAGAAGAGAUUUUGUAAAGAUAUUUCAAAAUGUUGCUCGUAUUUGGGCUAGAAAAAAUGGUAAAAAGAAGUUGUAAAUGC